CCUACGUGAGGCAGCAGUGGGGAAUAUUUCACAAUGUGCGAAACCCUGCUGCAGCGACGCCGCGUGAGUGAAGAAGUAAUUCGUUAUGUAAAGCUCUAUCAGCAGGGAAGAAAAGGACGGUACCUGAGUAAGAAGCCCCGGCUAACUACGUGCCAGCAGCCGCGGUAAUACGUAGGGGGCAAGCGUUAUCCGGAUUUACUGGGUGUAAAGGGAGCGGAGACGGCAGUGCAAGUCUGGAGUGAAAGGCGGGGGCUCAACCCCCGGACUGCUCUGGAAACUGUACGGCUGGAGUGCAGGAGAGGUAAGUGGAAUUCCUAGUGUAGCGGUGAAAUGCGUAGAUAUUAGGAGGAACACCAGUGGCGAAGGCGGCUUACUGGACUGUAACUGACGUUGAGGCUCGAAAGCGUGGGGAGCAAACAGGAUUAGAUACCCUUGUAGUC
rnacentral:rRNA from 1 species